UACGAAGGGGGCUAGCGUUGCUCGGAAUCACUGGGCGUAAAGGGCGCGUAGGCGGCCGAUUAAGUCGGGGGUGAGAGCCUGUGGCUCAACCACAGAAUUGCCUUCGAUACUGGUUGGCUUGAGACCGGAAGAGGACAGCGGAACUGCGAGUGUAGAGGUGAAAUUCGUAGAUAUUCGCAAGAACACCAGUGGCGAAGGCGGCUGUCUGGUCUGGUCUGACGCUGAGGCGCGAAAGCGUGGGGAGCAA
rnacentral:rRNA from 1 species